GAGCUAUUUGAAUUGCGAGCUCACAAUCUUGUCCGUUACGUCGUCGAUGCUCUAGGGACCAACAUUGGGCAGGAGGAUAUCAAGCCCGCUCUAGAGGCUGCGUUCCAAAGGAUGGACGAUGAAGUUCAGAAAGAGAUGCGAGCUUUGCGUGAGUCAAUUGAGGUGUUCCAGCACACCAAGAUCACUAGCAUGGUGGUGUUGGUUCAUAAUGGAUGGGUCUUAUACGCCGCUGGGGCUGCCAAUGCCAGAGUCGUCAUGUCCAGAAGCUUCAAGCCCGAUGAUAAUGCGCCAAGUGCGGACAAUCGCAAUGCUAAGUUACACAGUUCCUGAAGGCGAAGAACACAUCUUGUACCAUUUCCACAAGGAACGCAUACAGGAGGACGAGCGCUCGCUUCGGAUCAUAUAUGGACCCUUCUUACGCUUUUAUACCAGUGUUACAAAACCGGAUAAAUGAAGUGGUUUGCGUUUUAGCA